GCAGUUUAUUUAUAAAGUGCAACAAGAACCUACACGCGGAUGACAUCAAAGUACUGCGAGAGCGACUCGAAAGAUCAUGGACAGCAUUCUGAUUUCAAAUCACUCUCGCGGUAUUUUAACGUCAUCCGUUUCUCAGUUCCUGCAACUCAGCAUUACGUUGAACACCUUGUCAAAAAUGAUUGAGAGGGCCAAUCAAAUCAAAAAAGGCGAGUGCCACUGGCCAAUCACAUAACAGAAGACGAGCUUUCCUGUUAACGGAAGCCGAGCGGCGGCCAAUCAAAUUAACCAAUAGGCGGGGUUACCGUCGGAGUAGCAGUUACACCGUGUCAAUCAGUCGGACACACAGAUUUCAAAGGCAGCAGGAUGAAAGAUAUGUGUCUGUGUUCAUCAAGACAUGAAGACUCUGGAGUGGGACAAGAGAAGGAUGAUGGGGUGUAUAUUCCAAUAGACACAUUAAGUGAAAGCUGAUAAAUACAGAGGGCUGGACAGUGGUUUCAUUCAUUAGGUAAAGAGGUGGGACAAUGAUGCUGACAGGACAGGAGGAGGUGACAUUCAGACAUUCAACGCAGACAUUUUCAUCCAAAGCAACUUGAGGAAGAAAACAGAAGCAGUUCAUCCUAAAAGUGGGCUGCUGUAAUGUUUACAUCUAUGGAAAGAGGAGCUGAGAAGAAAAGAUAGGCUGGAAAGCAUUACUUCUUGUUGAGGAUAA